rnacentral:rRNA from 1 species
CUGCUGCCUUCCGUAGGAGUUUGGGCCGUGUCUCAGUCCCAAUGUGGCCGGCCACCCUCUCAGGUCGGCUACUGAUCGUCGCCUUGGUGGGCCGUUACCCCGCCAACAAGCUAAUCAGACGCAGGUCCAUCCCAUACCACCGGAGUUUUUCACACCGGGCCAUGCGGCCCUCGUGCGCUUAUGCGGUAUUAGCAGUCAUUUCUAACUGUUAUCCCCCCGUAUGAGGCAGGUUGCCCACGCGUUACUCACCCGUCCGCCGCUAAG